UACGGAGGGUGCAAGCGUUAAUAGGAAUUACUGCGCGUAAAGCGCGCGUAGGUGGCUUGAUAAGCCGGUUGUGAAAGCCCCGGGCUCAACCUGGGAACGGCAUGCGGAACUGUCAAGCUAGAGUGCAGGAGAGGAAGGUAGAAUUCCCGGUGUAGCGGUGAAAUGCGUAGAGAUCGGGAGGAAUACCAGUGGCGAAGGAAGCCUUCUGGACUGACACUGACACUGAGGUGCUAAAGCGUGGGUAGCAAACAGG
rnacentral:misc_RNA from 1 species